UAAAACGUAGGGGGCGAGCGUUGUCCGGAUUUAUUGGGCGUAAAGCGCACGCAGGCGGCUUUCCAAGUCAAAUGUGAAAUCUCCUGGUAAAACUGGGAAAUUGCAUUCGAUACUGGAUGGCUUGAGUUCGGGAGAGGAGAGUGGAAUUCCCGGUGUAGCGGUGGAAUGCGCAGAUAUCGGGAGGAACACCAUUAGCGAAGGCGGCUCUCUGGAACGAUACUGACGCUAAGGUGCGAGAGCUAGGGUAGCAAACAGGAUUAGAUACCCUGGUAGUCCUAGCUGUAAACGUUGGGCACUAGAUGUAGGGAGAUAUCGACUCUUCCUGUAUCGUAGCUAACGCGUUAAGUGCCUCGCCUGGGAAGUACGACCGCAAGGUUA
rnacentral:rRNA from 1 species